CGUCGCGGCGACCUUGGCGCUCAAUGGAGCUCCUGUGCAGGUAAGGAAAACCUCGGCGGGGCCACGGCCAGGAAGACUCCAAGAUAACCCCGUUGACGCCCGGAGGGAGGAGAUGAUGCCCAACGGAUUCGAGUUCGUCUGAACAAACAACGAGGUGGAAGGAUGGACGGACGCAUGGAUUUUGGGAUGGAGGGAUGAGCAGAUGAAUUGACAGAUGGAUGACGGACGGAUGCACGUCAAGGGCCCUAGGACCUGCAGUGAGGUCACUUCGACACCAACGUGGACCCGAGGGACCUCUCGUGUUCUGUGAAGCUCUCAGCGCUGUCACCCCGCCAAUCUUGUCCAGACAUUCUCAGUCGCUGCCAGAUCCCGUUGGUAGCGACUUCAUUGGUAGCUGGUCCACUGCCCAGAGUCAUCAGUCAGUGGAACAAAGCCCCCACCACCACAGCAGGGUAACCUCCUUCACUCCCCCUCCACAAGUGCAGCCUCUUUUUCUCCGCAGCGCAAACGAACUCGGCCGUGAACUCCGUCGCCCCCUGUCGUCCUGUGCCCGCUUCCCACCCGGGCCGGUCGUCGUGGCAACAGGGCCGAGGGCUCGCUUUCGUGAAGGAUGACAGGAAGCGAGCGUCAGGAUGCCGCUUGGCGAAAAAACAUCACAGGCAACCUCGCCUCACGCGAACCCUUCGAUAACGACGUGUGCUGGCUCCGCAACAUUGCGUCAGUCCAUUCUACUCUGAUGUGUGCUCGCCCCGCGAUGUUUGGCGUGUCCACGUUUAUGUUACGCGGUUGCGCCGCGACGUUAUUUCCCUCCCUGCUUACUUUCGAGUAGACUCUGACUUCUGAUCGCUCCUCAAUGUUGUGUGCGUCCGUGUUAACGUUACAGUAGACUCUGAAGCGGUAGUUCCGUAAUGUUAUAUUUGCUCCGUAAUGUUGCGAAAGUUAAUGUUUAUAUAGCAGUAGAUUAAAACGCGGUUGCUUGUUAUGAGGUCGAGCCACAACGUCAUGUGCGUCCGUGUUCCAGAAGACUGUGACACGUUUGUAGACCCUGACACACGCUCAUUCCAAAAUGUUCCGCGCAUCCGUGUUGAUACGGUCACUACGCAAUGUUGUGUGCGCCCACGUUCCAGUCGACUGUGACAUGUCGUCGCUCCACAUUGUAGUACGCGUCCAUAGUUAUGUUCCAGGCGAUGCUGAUGUCGUUCCACAAUGUUGUGUGCGCCCUUAUUGACAUCCUUGUAGACUCUGGCAUGUGGUUGCUCCACAAUGUUGCGCAUCCGUGUUUAUGUUCCAGUGUACUCUGACAUGUGGUCGUUCUCCAAUGUUGUUUGUGUGUGUGUGUGUGUGCGUGUGUCCUCGAUUAUGUCUGCGAUGAUUUGCGUGUGUGGUUAUGCCACCGUGUUGUGCGCCCAAAUUUGUGUUCAAGGAUGAUGUUUCUCCCCAGUAGUCUUUUUUUUUUU